rnacentral:rRNA from 1 species
GAUGUUAGCGGCGGACGGGUGAGUAACACGUGGAUAACCUACCUAUAAGACUGGGAUAACUUCGGGAAACCGGAGCUAAUACCGGAUAAUAUUUUGAACCGCAUGGUUCAAAAGUGAAAGACGGUCUUGCUGUCACUUAUAGAUGGAUCCGCGCUGCAUUAGCUAGUUGGUAAGGUAACGGCUUACCAAGGCAACGAUGCAUAGCCGACCUGAGAGGGUGAUCGGCCACACUGGAACUGAGACACGGUCCAGACUCCUACGGGAGGCAGCAGUAGGGAAUCUUCCGCAAUGGGCGAAAGCCUGACGGAGCAACGCCGCGUGAGUGAUGAAGGUCUUCGGAUCGUAAAACUCUGUUAUUAGGGAAGAACAUAUGUGUAAGUAACUGUGCACAUCUUGACGGUACCUAAUCAGAAAGCCACGGCUAACUACGUGCCAGCAGCCGCGGUAAUACGUAGGUGGCAAGCGUUAUCCGGAAUUAUUGGGCGUAAAGCGCGCGUAGGCGGUUUUUUAAGUCUGAUGUGAAAGCCCACGGCUCAACCGUGGAGGGUCAUUGGAAACUGGAAAACUUGAGUGCAGAAGAGGAAAGUGGAAUUCCAUGUGUAGCGGUGAAAUGCGCAGAGAUAUGGAGGAACACCAGUGGCGAAGGCGACUUUCUGGUCUGUAACUGACGCUGAUGUGCGAAAGCGUGGGGAUCAAACAGGAUUAGAUACCCUGGUAGUCCACGCCGUAAACGAUGAGUGCUAAGUGUUAGGGGGUUUCCGCCCCUUAGUGCUGCAGCUAACGCAUUAAGCACUCCGCCUGGGGAGUACGACCGCAAGGUUGAAACUCAAAGGAAUUGACGGGGACCCGCACAAGCGGUGGAGCAUGUGGUUUAAUUCGAAGCAACGCGAAGAACCUUACCAAAUCUUGACAUCCUUUGACAACUCUAGAGAUAGAGCUUUCCCCUUCGGGGGACAAAGUGACAGGUGGUGCAUGGUUGUCGUCAGCUCGUGUCGUGAGAUGUUGGGUUAAGUCCCGCAACGAGCGCAACCCUUAAGCUUAGUUGCCAUCAUUAAGUUGGGCACUCUAAGUUGACUGCCGGUGACAAACCGGAGGAAGGUGGGGAUGACGUCAAAUCAUCAUGCCCCUUAUGAUUUGGGCUACACACGUGCUACAAUGGACAAUACAAAGGGCAGCGAAACCGCGAGGUCAAGCAAAUCCCAUAAAGUUGUUCUCAGUUCGGAUUGUAGUCUGCAACUCGACUACAUGAAGCUGGAAUCGCUAGUAAUCGUAGAUCAGCAUGCUACGGUGAAUACGUUCCCGGGUCUUGUACACACCGCCCGUCACACCACGAGAGUUUGUAACACCCGAAGCCGGUGGAGUAACCUUUUAGGAGCUAGCCGUCGAAGGUGGGACAAAUGAUUGGGGUGAAGUCGUAACAAGGUAGCCGUAUCGGAAGGUGCGGCUGGAUCACCUCCUUU